AAUUAUUGGGCGUAAAGAGCUUGUAGGCGGUUUGUCGCGUCUGCUGUGAAAGGCCGGAGCUUAACUCCGUGUAUUGCAGUGGGUACGGGCAGACUAGAGUGCAGUAGGGGAGACUGGAAUUCCUGGUGUAGCGGUGGAAUGCGCAGAUAUCAGGAGGAACACCGAUGGCGAAGGCAGGUCUCUGGGCUGUAACUGACGCUGAGAAGCGAAAGCAUGGGGAGCGAACAGGAUUAGAUACCCUGGUAGUCCAUGCCGUAAACGUUGGGCACUAGGUGUAGGAGGUAUCGACCCCUUCUGUGCCGGAGUUAACGCAAUAAGUACCCCGCCUGGGGAGUACGACCGCAAGGUUGAAACUCAAAGGAAUUGACGGGGGCCCGCACAAGCGGUGGAGUAUGUGGUUUAAUUCGACGCAACGCGAAGAACCUUACCAGGUC
rnacentral:rRNA from 1 species